UACGUAGGUGACCAGCGUUGUCCGGAUUUACUGGGCGUAAAGAGCGCGCAGGCGGUCGUUCAAGUCGAGUGUGAAAGCCCCCGGCUCAACUGGGGAGGGUCAUUCGAUACUGAUCGACUGGAAGGCAGGAGAGGGAAGCGGAAUUCCCGGUGUAGUGGUGAAAUGCGUAGAUAUCGGGAGGAACACCAAUGGCGAAGGCGGCUCACUGGCCCGGUACUGACGCUCAGGCGCGACAGCGUGGGGAUCAAACAGG
rnacentral:rRNA from 1 species